rnacentral:rRNA from 1 species
CAGUCGAGCGAGCGGAACCACAGAUUUACUUCGGUAAUGACGUUGGGAAAGCGAGCGGCGGAUGGGUGAGUAACACGUGGGGAACCUGCCCCUAAGUCUGGGAUACCAUUUGGAAACAGGUGCUAAUACCGGAUAAUAAAGCGGAUCGCAUGAUCAGCUUUUGAAAGGCGGCGUAAGCUGUCGCUAAGGGAUGGCCCCGCGGUGCAUUAGCUAGUUGGUAAGGUAACGGCUUACCAAGGCGACGAUGCAUAGCCGAGUUGAGAGACUGAUCGGCCACAUUGGGACUGAGACACGGCCCAAACUCCUAUGGGAGGCAGCAGUAGGGAAUCUUCCACAAUGGACGCAAGUCUGAUGGAGCAACGCCGCGUGAGUGAAGAAGGUUUUCGGAUCGUAAAGCUCUGUUGUUGGUGAAGAAGGAUAGAGGUAGUAACUGGCCUUUAUUUGACGGUAAUCAACCAGAAAGUCACGGCUAACUACGUGCCAGCAGCCGCGGUAAUACGUAGGUGGCAAGCGUUGUCCGGAUUUAUUGGGCGUAAAGCGAGCGCAGGCGGAAAAAUAAGUCUAAUGUGAAAGCCCUCGGCUUAACCGAGGAACUGCAUCGGAAACUGUUUUUCUUGAGUGCAGAAGAGGAGAGUGGAACUCCAUGUGUAGCGGUGGAAUGCGUAGAUAUAUGGAAGAACACCAGUGGCGAAGGCGGCUCUCUGGUCUGCAACUGACGCUGAGGCUCGAAAGCAUGGGUAGCGAACAGGAUUAGAUACCCUGGUAGUCCAUGCCGUANACGAUGAGUGCUAAGUGUUGGGAGGUUUCCGCCUCUCAGUGCUGCAGCUAACGCAUUAAGCACUC